CCCCGAAAUGCAUUUAGGUGCAGCGUCGUGUAGUGUGUGCCGGAGGUAGAGCUACCAAUAGGGCUAGGGGGCUUCACCGCCUACCAACCCCUGAUGAACUCCGAAUGCCGGCAUUACAGCAGCGGCAGUGAGGCAGUGGGUGCUAAGGUCCAUUGCCAAGAGGGGAACAACCCAGACCAUCAGCUAAGGUCCCCAAAUUUGGACUAAGUUGAAUUGAACGAUGUGGGGACGCUAAGACAGCUAGGAUGUUGGCUUGGAAGCAGCCAUUCAUUUAAAGAGUGCGUAACAGCUCACUAGUCGAGCGUUCCUGCGCGGAAAAUAAUCGGGCAUCAAACUGAAUACCGAAGCUAUGGAUUUGCAAUUUAUUGCAAGUGGUAGGGGAGCAUUGUAGUAGCAUUGAAGGUUAACUGCGAGGUUAAUUGGAGCAACUACAAAAGCAAAUGUAGGCAUGAGUAACGAUAAAAGGGGUGAGAGACCCCUUCGCCGAAAGACUAAGGUUUCCUCGAUCUAUGCUAAUCAGAUCAGGGUUAGUCGGGACCUAAGGAGUAGCCGAAAGGCGAAUCCGAUGGCAAACGGGUUAAUAUUCCCGUACCUACUAUAGAAUAAAAGUGACGGCGCUUACGGCGUAUCGCGUACUGACGGAAUAGUACGUUGAAGGCUUCGGCCGAUAGUACAUGGACUCCUCCGGGAAGAAAUGAUAGUGUACUUAGUAAGCGUCCAAGAAAUAGCGACUAUAGCAGCCCGUACCGCAAACCGACACAGGUAGUCGAGAAGAGUAUUCUCAGGCGCUCGAGUGAUUCGUGGCUAAGGAACUAGGCAAAAUGGUCUCGUAACUUCGGGAGAAGAGACGCUCUAAUUUAAAUUGGAGCCGCAGUGAAGAGGCCCAGGCGACUGUUUAGCAAAAACACAGGACUCUGCAAACUCGAAAGAUGAAGUAUAGGGUCUGACACCUGCCCGGUGCUGGAAGGUUAAGGAAGGGGCUUAGCGCUUGCGCGAAGGUCUUAACUGAAGCCCCAGUAAACGGCGGCCGUAACUAUAACGGUCCUAAGGUAGCGAAAUUCCUUGUCGGGUAAGUUCCGACCUGCACGAAUGGUGUAACGAUCUGGGCACUGUCUCAACCACGAGCUCGGUGAAAUUGUAGUAUCGGUGAAGAUGCCGGUUACCCGCAACGGGACGAAAAGACCCCGUGCACCUUUACUAUAGCUUCACAUUGGUUUUGGUUAUAUAUUGUGUAGGAUAGGUGGGAGACUUUGAAGCUGGGCCGCUAGGUCUGGUGGAGUCGUUGGUGAAAUACCACCCUAUAUAUAAUUGGAGUCUAACUUCGUCUAAGACGAAGGACAGUGUGUGGUGGGUAGUUUGACUGGGGUGGUCGCCUCCAAAAAAGUAACGGAGGCUUUCAAAGGUACCCUCAGUAUGGUUGGUAAUCAUACGCAGAGUGUAAUGGCACAAGGGUGCUUGACUGUGAGACUGACAAGUCGAACAGGGUCGAAAGACGGACAUAGUGAUCCGGUGAUUCUGUAUGGAUGGGUCAUCGCUCAAAGGAUAAAAGGUACGCCGGGGAUAACAGGCUGAUCGCUCCCAAGAGCUCAUAUCGACGGAAUCGUUUGGCACCUCGAUGUCGGCUCGUCACAUCCUGGGGCUGGAGAAGGUCCCAAGGGUUGGGCUGUUCGCCCAUUAAAGUGGCACGCGAGCUGGGUUCAGAACGUCGUGAGACAGUUCGGUC
rnacentral:rRNA from 1 species